rnacentral:tRNA from 1 species
UCUUCCGUAGUAUAGUGGUUAGUAUAUGAGCUUGUCAUUUACAUCGACAGUACGCUCGGGACCCGGGUUCAAUUCCCGGCGGGAGAG